UUGCACAUAAAGUCUGAUAAUUAGCAGAAGCAUCUCCCAGUCUUAUGUCCAAAACCAUCAAAGCUUUACUAAUUAAACUUUCCUUAAAAUGUCUGCUUUCAUUUGUUUGGGCUUCUUGGCCUUCCAACACCUCCAGGCCUGGGACUAGAGCAGAACUAGUAUCCAGAACACCCCCACUUGGGUCUGAGGCCAUCCUCAAUCCCCCUACAGGAGCUCCAACACAUAGGAGUUAUAGGGAGAGGUUAUAUGGAGUAAUAGGUGGAGAUAUAUGGAAUAAUAGUAGGAGUUAUAGAGAGAGCUUAUAUGGAGUAAUAGGAGGAGUUAUAGAGAGAGGUUAUAUAGGAGUAAUAGGAGGAGUUAUAGUGAGAGUUUAUAUGAAGUAAUAGGUGGAGAUAUAGAGAGAGGUUAUAUGGAGUAAUAGGAGGAGUUAUAGGGAGAGGUUAUAUGGAGUAAUAGGAGAAGUUAUAGAGAGAGGUUAUAUGGGGUAAUAGGAGGAGAUAUAGAGCGAGGUUAUAUGGAGUAAUAGGAGGAGAUAUAGGGAGAGGUUAUAUGGAGUAAUAGGAGAAGUUAUAGGGAGAGGUUAUAUGGAGUAAUAGGAGGAGAUAUAGGGAGAGGUUAUAUGGAGUAAUAGGAGGAGAUAUAGGGAGAGGUUAUAUGGAGUUACAGGAGGAGUUAUAGAGAGAGGUUUUAUGAAGUAAUAGGAACUGGUAUGGAGCGAGGGUUUAUAUGGAGUAAGAGGAUGAAGAAUAGAGGAUAUAGCGAGUUUAAAAUGAGUAAUUGCAGGAGUUAUAUAGAGAUAUUAUACAAGAAAUAGGAUAAAUUAUAGGGAGAGGUUAUAGGGAGUAAUAGGAGGAGUUAUAGAGAGGAGUUAUAUGGAGUAAUAGGAGGAGUUAUAGAGAGAGGUUAUAUGGAGUAAUAGGAGGAGUUAUAGGGAGAGGAAGGAGUAAUAGGAGGAGUUAUAGGGAGAGGUUAUAUGGAGUAAUAGGAGGAGUUAUAGGCAGAGGUUAUAUGGAGUAAUAGGAGGAGUUAUAGAGAGAGGUUAUAUGGAGUAAUAGUAGGACUUUUUUUUAUUAAAUUUUCUUACAACAAA